GAGGGUACAGCUCAGUGGUAGAGCGCAUGCUUAGCAUGCACAAGGUCCUGGAUUCAAUCCCCAGUACUUCCU
rnacentral:tRNA from 1 species